AUGGCCCUCCGGCUCGCCCAAUCCAAGGCUGCAAUGCAUCUGGCAAGGCGUGGGCUGGCGCGUGUGAUUUCCAACGCGCCGGCUUCUUUCAGGGCAAAUGCAGCUACCGGCGCAGGUAGCAUUGUUCGUCGCCUGCACUCUGGUGCUGCUUCUCGUCUCAGAGACCUCAACAGAAUGGGCCUGCACUCUGGCGCCGCUUCUUGUCUCACACACCUGAACAGAAGGGGCCUGCACUCUGGCGCCGUUUCUCGUCUCACACACCUGAACAGAAGAGGCCUACACUCUGGCGCCGCUUCUCGUCUCACAGACCUGAACAGCAGUGAUCUAGAAAGAGUUAUAUACAACUUCGAAAGCCAGCCUUCGAUGCAUUCCAAACCUUCUGCUCUCUCAGAGUAUGUAAAGGCCCUCGUCAGCCUCGAGAUGCAAACUCAAGGGGUGGAGGGCAGUCAGCUCCUGUCAAAGGACGGCACUCUGGGCACAGCUACUGCACCGCUCCACAUGGUUACAAUGGAGAAGGGCAAGAUAUGGAAACUGCUCUGGCCCACCUUUGGGACCAUCGCUGCUGCCGGCCUAGCUACUGGCCUUGCGACCUAUGGCGGUAAGGUUCUUGGUGACAAGGUGUCUGAGAAGGUAAUUGAGGCUGCUGAUCAGGGCCUUGUAGUCUUUGCCGGCAAGAUUCCGGCUGAGCUCUUGGGCGAACUGGAAGACGAGUACAGUGGUGUCGAAGAAGCAGGUGGUAAGUUCAGUGGUCAGAAAACAAAAGCUGGUAAUUUUGGCAGUUUGAAAGAGGUAACCUCGACCACCACGAAAUUCCGUGAUGUAAAGGGGGCUGACGAAGCCAAAGCUGACCUCGAGGACAUUGCUCACUACCUACGAGAUCCCAAGCGUUUCACGCGCCUUGGUGCCAAGCUUCCAAAGGGUGUUCUGCUCGUGGGCCCACCUGGCACAGGGAAGACCAUGUUGGCGAGGGCGUUGGCCGGGGAAACCGGCGUCCCGUUCUUCACGUGCAGCGGCAGCGAGUUCGAGGACAAGUAUUAUGGUGUUGCCUCUAAAAGAGUGAGGGAGCUCUUCAGUGAAGCAAAGAAGCGCUCCCCUUCCAUAAUAUUCAUCGACGAAAUCGAUGCCAUUGCUGGUCCUAGAAAUACAGAAGAUCCAAUGUGGAUGAGGCAUACCCUGAACCAGUUGCUUUCUGAGAUGGAUGGCUUCAAGCAGAAUGAUGGGGUCAUCGUGAUCGCCGCGACCAACUUCAAGGAGUCGCUAGAUAAAGCCCUCGUCAGGCCUGGGCGUUUUGACCGUCAUGUCCAGGUUCCUCUUCCAGAUGUCGAGGGCCGACGGCAGAUCCUCGAGUCUUAUAUCUCAAAGGUGAAAGCCAAGGGUGUGGAUGUGUUGACAAUCGCUACGGGGACACCUGGGCUCUCAGGUGCAGACCUUGCAAACCUGGUGAAUGAGGCCGCCGUCACCGCUGCCAAGGACGGGGCGAAAGCUGUUACGAUGCAUCACCUAGAGUAUGCCAAGGACAGGAUCAUGAUGGGAAGCGAGCGCAAGUCAGCGGUGAUACCUGAUCAUUCCAGGAAGAUGACCGCGUACCAUGAGGGAGGGCACGCUCUUGUUGCUAUCUUCACGGACGGUGCUGACGCUGUCGACAAGGCCACCAUUGUUCCCAGGGUGGGUGCUCUUGGCAUGGUGAUGCAGCUGCCGGGGGAAGAUGCCGAGUUUGAACUCUCGAGGAAGCAGAUGCUGGCGACUCUGGAUGUCAUGAUGGGCGGGCGGGUGGCCGAGGAGCUUAUAGCCGGAGAAGGCGGGGUCACCACUGGUCCCUCAACUGAUCUAAGCGAGGCGACUCAGCUGGCGACCGACAUGGUCACCAAGUAUGGCAUGGGCAAGCGGGUGGGCCUUGUUACCUAUAGCAACGGCGGUGAUGCUAGCGGUGGCAAGGCAACCAACAUGAGCGGGCGGAUGUCAGAACUGGUUGACGAGGAGGUGAAAGAAUUACUGGACAACGCUUACAAGAACGCCAAAGCGAUUCUCACGGAUCGUAGGAAGGAGCUUGAUGCGCUAGCCAACGCCCUCCUGAAGGAUGAGACUCUCACUGGUGACCAGAUCAAGAAACUAGUAACAGGAGGUGGAAGUAAAUGGUUUUGA
rnacentral:rRNA from 1 species